rnacentral:rRNA from 1 species
CCUACGGGAGGCAGCAGUGGGGAAUCUUGCACAAUGGAGGAAACUCUGAUGCAGCGACGCCGCGUGGACGACGAAGCCCUUCGGGGUGUAAAGUCCUUUCGACCGGAACGAUAAUGACGGUACCGGUGGAAGAAGCUGCGGCUAACUACGUGCCAGCAGCCGCGGUAAUACGUAGGCAGCAAGCGUUGUUCGGAAUUACUGGGCGUAAAGAGUUCGUAGGCGGUGCGGCAAGUUUGGUGUGAAAUCUCCCGGCUCAACUGGGAGGGUGCGCCGAAUACUGCCGUGCUAGAGUAUAGGAGAGGUAAGCGGAAUUCCCGGUGUAGCGGUGAAAUGCGUAGAUAUCAGGAGGAACACCUGUGGUGUAGACGGCUUACUGGACUAUAACUGACGCUGAGGAACGAAAGCGUGGGUAGCAAACAGGAUUAGAUACCCUGGUAGUCCACGCCCUAAACGAUGCAUACUGUGUGAGCAUCUACUGUUCGUGCGUACGACUACGUACGUUAAGUAUGCCGCCGUGGGAGGUACGGUCGCGAGGCGUGAACGUACGAAAGGAAAGUUAGUAACGGUCGUGUUAGACGUGCCGAACGGACGACGACGAGGGAGGAGG